CGCAGCUGUCUCGCCGUUCGACCCGGGAGCUCCACGUUGCAGCCAAACACGAUCCCGUUAACCAACCUUUAUGCAGUGCCUGUUGUCUAUCCGACCCUUUCUCGAGCAUCGGCUCAUUGGCAAAGGAUCGUGAUGCUCACCGGCUGGGGCUUGAGACUCGCUGUGUGACCUUGGGCAAGUGACUUAACCUCUCUGAGGUUGUCGCCAAUCCGUAAAAUAUAAUAGUUUUUUUGUAGAGAUGGAGGUCUCGCUACGUUGGCCACGCUGCUGCGGGGAGAUCC
rnacentral:lncRNA from 1 species